UGGGGAAUAUUGGACAAUGGGCGCAAGCCUGAUCCAGCCAUGCCGCGUGAGUGAUGAAGGCCCUAGGGUUGUAAAGCUCUUUCACCGGUGAAGAUAAUGACGGUAACCGGAGAAGAAGCCCCGGCUAACUUCGUGCCAGCAGCCGCGGUAAUACGAAGGGGGCUAGCGUUGUUCGGAUUUACUGGGCGUAAAGCGCACGUAGGCGGACUUUUAAGUCAGGGGUGAAAUCCCGGGGCUCAACCCCGGAACUGCCUUUGAUACUGGAAGUCUUGAAUAUGGUAGAGGUGAGUGGAAUUCCGAGUGUAGAGGUGAAAUUCGUCGAUAUUCGGAGGAACACCAGUGGCGAAGGCGGCUCACUGGACCAUUACUGACGCUGAGGUGCGAAAGCGUGGGGAGCAAACAGG
rnacentral:rRNA from 1 species